GUUGAUUUGUAAAAUAUUGAUAAGUUUGUUUUUAUUUUUUUAAGAAAAAGGGAAUAAAUAAGUGAGUUAUUGACAAUUAAAGCUUUCCUAUGGCAAAUGAAGAAAAUGGCCUCUUAAGUUACGAAAAUCCGAAUUAUCGACUGGGUCCCUCAACUCGUUUGGACGAUGCUUUGAAUUCAAACACAGAGAAUAUAUAUGAAGACAUCUAUCAGGAACUAGACGAUAUUUGUAACAUGGGUCACGGAGGGAAGGGCUCUAUUGCUACGAACGCCAGUAGAAAAGCUUACGCCGCUUUAGAUAUUACUUCAAUGGGUGUAGAUAUUAAUAAAGGACCUGUCACUCAGAAUUAUAUGGACAAUAGAAGCUUGUUCGAUAAAACUGUUAUGACCAAGGAAGACGAAAACGGUAUUCAACAUAUUGUAGGUAGUAUAACGAAUGAUUUGUAUGCAGUACCAAUGAGAAAAUGUCCUAAAAGUCUAGACCAAAUAGAUAAACUUAAUUCACCAGAUCCAGAAAAAGAAUGGGAUAGUCAGAAUGAGUUGCCUCCUGGUUGGGAAAAACACGAAGAUAACGACGGUCCGUAUUAUUGGCACAUAAAGAGUGGCACUAUUCAGAGGGAAAUCCCGAUUAUAGAAAAUCAUAAAUUAGAAAAAUCGAAUUCAAAAUUGAACCUUAAAGAGAGUGCUCUAAUAUCAUCUUUCGAAAAUAACUUAUCAGUUACUAGAAGCUGCACUAGUUCCGCUUUAAAUUUAGAAAGUGACGAUAGGAAAAGAAAAGAAGAAAUAGCUUUAAAGAGAAGGAGUUUUCCUUCAAAACCCGACCAAGAUUGCAAAGAACGUCCUAUAAGAUUUGCAGUAAGAUCUCUGGGAUGGGUAGAAAUAUCAGAGGAUGAUCUAACUCCGGAACGAAGCAGUAAAGCUGUAAAUAAGUGUAUUGUUGAUCUGUCCUUAGGAAGGAAUGAUCUGUUGGAUGUUGUAGGAAGAUGGGGUGAUGGUAAAGAUUUAUUUAUGGAUUUGGAUGAAGGAUCAUUGAAAUUGUUUGAUCCGGAAAAUCUAACUGUGUUAAACACGCAACCAAUUCAUACCAUAAGAGUUUGGGGUGUAGGAAGAGACAAUGGAAGGGAUUUUGCAUACGUAGCUAGAGAUAGGACCACUCGCAAGCACAUGUGCCACGUAUUUAGAUGCGACAUGCCAGCUAGAACAAUUGCAAAUACUCUUAGGGACAUAUGCAAAAAAAUUAUGAUAGAAAGAAGUUUGCAACAGAAUUUAGGAAAGGCUAUUGAUGUUAAUGGAAAAUCUUUAGCGACUCGACCAAAUAACUUACCAACAGAACACAGACGUCCAGCUAGAAAUUCACAAAUCUUUGUUUCUCAAUCUUUUCCAACUCCAAUGGAAGAACCAAAAAAGAUUCUCCGAGCCCAGUAUUUAGGUUGUACGCAAGUAGCAGCUGCCACAGGUAUGGAUGUCCUGAACGAAUCUAUUGAUAGGUUGAUGACUACAGUACCUCCAGAACAGUGGCAACCUGUUAAUAUCUCGAUAGCUCCAUCUAUGAUCAGUAUUCAUCAUCCUAAUGAUGAACGUGUUUUGGCAGAAUGCAGGGUUAGAUAUUUAUCAUUUUUGGGUAUAGGCAAAAUAAUUAAGCAUUGUGCAUUUAUCAUGCACACAGCACAAGAUACUUUCAUGUCGCAUGUCUUUUAUUGUGAACCUUCGUCAGGCGCUUUAUGUAAAACUAUAGAAGCCGCGUGCAAGCUAAGGUAUCAGAAAUGCCUUGAUGCUCACCCUCAAGGAUUGGGAAAUCCGAGUACUAAUGUACAUACACCCGGCAGCAGUAUUGGAGCAGCUUUAAAAUCAAUUGUAGGAUCACUUCGAGGACGAAAGAGCAAGAGUGCAGAAUCUUGAGAAAAAAUAAUAUUUAUUCAGGUCAGUUAUAGAAUAAAUUAUAACAUUGGAUAGUUUUUAAAAUCAUUGAUGAGUCAUUUCAUUUUUGGUUUUUGAUCUACAUCAUCGGUUUAAUUUAUUUAUUUAAUAUGUUUCAGUUACCAGUAGGCUUUGGACAAAUUUCAUAAUAUGUAGAAAUAUCAUCCAGUUUCAAAUUACAAUUUUUCUUUAUUAUAUUUUACUUAUCUUUUCUCAACAUUUCUAUUCAAUCCAAAUAAUCCAGCUUCUUUCUACUGGAUUCCUUCUACCUCUACUUAAACUUGGUCUUCCCGUUUUUGACGUGGCCGUCCUGUUUUUUUCUUUCCAUUUACUGGCUUCAAUAGACUCUCUUUAGUGUACUAUUUUAUUUGAUUAUUUGUUUACGGCAUAUGCGGUUAUCCUCCGAUUAACCUUUCUAUGGCAUUUAUUAUUAUUAUGAUCUGGUUUUUUCCAAAUCGAGCUGGUAAUAUCAGCUUACUUGUUCUCACUUUGAGAUGGUAGGUCAAAUGGAAUGAUAAACUGAGAUAUUCAUUCAGUUCAUUGUAUUCUUUCCUAAAAUGCACUUGUCAAUAAAAAAUAAAAUAAAUUCGCAAAUUUUAAUCACCAGGCACUAAUCAGUAAACACGUAAAUCUCUUUAAUUUCUUAUUUCUUAGACCUUUCAUAUAUAUUUAUGUUUUCAAAUCCGAAAUAAGAUCAAAAUAGAAAUAGAUUUUUCUUCAAGCAUAUAAUAAUAUCUAUAUUAUUUUCGGCAACACAGAUCGUAGGAAUAACUCUCAUUAUUGUACUAGUAACAAAAUAAUGAGAAACGAUAGCAACGUCUUAUUAUGGGCGUUGUAACCAAGUAGGCAGGAACUGUCACUUAAUUUUUAUUUAAUUUGAUGUUUGUCAGUUUUGAAAAGUGUAUUGUAAAAAUGUCUCAUGAAGAAGAAUUUCAAUGUACACCACCUUGAAGAAAAAUGUCACUCGGAGCAGAAGACCCGUUAUAUUAUGUUUUGCUAAGCUAACGCCUCGGCAGUACAAGAAUCUGGACUCAAUGAUAGCCUUCUACUUCUAAUAACAUAAUACACUAUAUUCUAUUUUGAUUUUAUUUUUAUUUUGAAUUUUGAAUUGAGUUAUUUCCGUAAAACAAAAGUUGGUGCUGCAUCGGUAAGAAGGAAGGACUCCGGCACAGGGUCGGCAGAACGUGAUGUGAUCAAACACAGGCACCUGCAAUCACCUUUAACACAGAAAUAUUUUAGUAUUAGUAACCCUCCGUCUGCAAACCUCAGCUCUCUCCUUUCACCUACAAUGGUAGUCAAGAGAUACCAUAAUAUGUAUCAAUAUCAUCGCCGUGAAUCCCUCAAUUAAUAUUUUCUCUUAUUUGAAGAGCAUUGUAGGUUAAGAUUAUGUAAACUAAAUAUGAAAUUGUUGAAUCUCGAUAUAAUAAAGUUAUUUUCUUUUUUUUAAAUUUAAUGUACUAAAUCUUUUAACGGCGGCUCUUAUUAAAGGCAUGCCAUUUGGAAAUCGGUUAAAUCAUCUUCGAUUGCUUACCCUUUUGUUAAUGUAUUUUACUUUGUUAUGUGCUUUUUUAAACGCUUCAUAUAAAUAAGUGUUUUGAAAAGGGCUAUACACUGUUACGUGUUGUAAAAUAAAUGUUGUAGAGAUCAACAAUUGGUUUGAUCCAAUGUUAAAAGUUGAAGAUAAUCUCAUUGCAGUAUUCCGAGUGGUUAACUAUUGGUUAGUAAUACAGAUUAGAAACAAAAAAAGAGACCAAAAUAAAGCAUGCUUAGCUUUUAUUCUGACAAAUCCAGCAGUACCGUAAUCAGUGGUAAUUGUCAUUUCAUGCUAUACUAUUGAUUUGUUCCCAAAUGUAGUGAUCAGCGCAUUUACGUUUUAUAUUUGCAUCAUAUUUAGAAUAGUGUUCGUGUUUACUACGUUUAUGCUCUAGAUGUUGAAAUAUAUUCAAAAAGAGUAUAUAGAAUUCACUGGCUUAUAAAUAUAUAAAUAUAAUAUCGAAAAAUUUCAAUCUAGAUCAAAAGAAUAGAUAUGUUAGCUAUUAAGAAAACCGUGUCAUUUUUGACAUACAACUCUAGCAAUUGUGGUGAUAAUAUGUUGUUUAUAUAUUCGAAAAUGACAAAGAAGGAAUUCACAAAAUAUACAAUUUUUACUUGACAAAAUAGUCAUUUGCAUUCUAAGAUUUCCUAUGAUCUAAUAUAUAAGUCACACUUUUCUAACUCUAAAUUAUAGCAUCUCAUGACAAUAUUACUACCUGUCAGGGCUCUGGUGUAUAUUUUGCAAAAAAAGCUUAGUAAGGUAAAAUAAAUAUCAAGUUAUGUGUUGAUUAAAAAACUGCAAAUUUUGAUCAUAACAUUGUGAGGACGACCAGAAAGGUCGAAACACUACUCAUCUUCUGUCUUCACUUGCACAUAUUUGUCUUUUCUUCAAGACUUUUAACAGCAUGUACAAGUGGCACCCAUGAUUAAACUAUUCAUAUCAAUCUGUUAUUGAUUCAACAUUAUGUAUUUUUAUUUUAUAUCUAUUUGACUCCAAAACAUGGAUUGUUUCACCAUAAUUUAUAUUGGGGCUUACAACCCAAACAGACCGAGUCAAAAAUUGUCUAUGACCAAGUAACUAGUAAGGCCGACCGACCACGAUUCAACUGUUUUAAACAGAGGUUGCAAACCAGUUAAUCUUGCAACAGUUUUGCAAUCAAAAUAAAACUUUUGGGCACACAUGGAUACAACUCUUAAUCAGUAUUAAAUCAGUUGGUGUAGCAAUGAAAAGUAAUUUUUCAAUGUAUUCAGACUCAGACCGAUCUAGAUAUUUUUCAUUAAACAUUGAAUGCAUUUUUUUGACAUACAAUCGUGCAUCAAGAUAUUCAAUUUUUUUCCUGCAUAAUGUGUCUUUUUACUAGGAAAGCAGAGGAUGUGUUCAUUGGCAUUAUUCAAGAACUGUAUUUGUUUUUGGGUGAUAGCCUCUGUUAUCUGUAAGACUCUUCCUUUCAUUAAGCAAAUCACAAAGUUUGCGAACUCUGGCUUCAUAGGCUGAUAAAUGCCCUCUUGCAGACUUUAACUUUAUCAGUUUGCUUUCAGGCAUAGAAUUGAAAAGAUUUUGCCUCUGUGUACCAUUUUUUUUCGAGGACGCCUCUGUUUUAAACGAAACUUAUCAAUAAGUAUUUGAAAAAAUUUAUCCUACUCAUUCUUAGUUGAAAAAAAUUGGAAAUUCAAAAGUCAUCAGUCAGUCAAAAAUUAUCUUGGUAGAAAUUCGUAAAACAUUCCUUCAUACAUCUGCAUUAAAUAAGCGAUAUAUUAGGUCUAUAUAGGCUCCGAUAAAAAAAAUUCAACUGAAUUAAGGUUUAUGGUAAACUUGCCUGUUAUUUGCACCGAAAACGCGAUUUGUUUUCAUUGAUAAUGACUAUAUGCCUUUCUUUUAACAUCAGAAUUUUUCAUAAAAUUCCUUUUAUACUUUGCAGGAUUACAUAAUUUAGUAAAAGACGAGUGAACAACAAAUUUGCCAUUAACGGCGAGGGUUUACGAAAGAAACAAAGCAAAUAUAAAAAUGUCCAACUCAGUUAUAAACUUCUUCCAUCUUCCACCUCUUAAGUCACUGACUAAUGUUGUUUAUGCAACGUCUUUCACGCGGUAUUAUUGAAAGGGGAAGGAGUGUAUUGACUUACGUGGUUUUAACACAGAAUACGCAUCUUCUUUCAAGAAACCAUUUUCAGCAAAAAAGUGGGAAAAAAUGUGACUUAGAGGUUUUUCAAAUUACCGAUUAAAUUCAUAUUUUAUCUAAAAACUUUUCGGUUGGAAACGGUGAAAACGUUUUCAAUUCAACUUGAUUUCAAUCUGAAAAAUGCAUGUUUUUCUUCAAAAUAAAGAAGUUUAUUACCAGAAUUGCGGUAGUAUUUGUAAAAAUUUUAGUAUUUACUUAAAAUGCUGUUAAAAUUACAGUUAAAAUAUUUAAAUCUGAUUUGGGCAAAUUGAAAGUAUUAAGUAAAUGUUUCAAUUACGGCUUGAACCUUGUUUAUCUUUACAAUAUUUAUCUUGAAUAUUUAAGUCAAUAAUUCUUUGUAAAUAAUAUAGUAUACUUUCGGAACGAAUAAUACGUAAGGUGUGUGUUUUAAACUCGCAAAAUGAAAAAAAUGCUUAUUUUUAUAUUGGGUGUGUAAUCGUGCAGCUAUUUUUAUAAGUAUGAAAUGUCCUUUUGUCACUAAAACAGAAUGAAUUCUGCUGCUAUUCUAAAAUGAUGGGCCAAUAUAUGAAGUGAUGAUUUUAUUGGUAAUGCUUCUCUAAAAAUGAUAGACGUGAUCGUUUCUUUUGUUUUAUAAUGUCCGCAAAAUAAGUUUUAUUUGAAGAUUCCAAUUACUGUAUACUCCAUUUGAUCCAGACUAAAUCAGUAAAUAUAACAAUCUUGAUAUUUCUUUCAGUUUUUCCCGCAUUAGUUCCAAACAAUUUAAUACAAAUAGAAAAAUCUGUUUUCUCUCAAAAUUUUACCAACUCAUCCGAACCUAGAAGACCUUCUGUGUAUCGUUAUUACCUUAUAAUUCAAGAUAAUCUAAGAGACACAUAUGUUCGCUAAGAAUAUUACUAUGAAACACCAUUGCUUCCUGUCUUAAUUUUAUGUCUUCCAAAUCAGUUGCACGUGUCUCCACAAGCCAGAUAUCUUCAGAAAACAUCUAUUUUUUUUAAUAUAUUUGCAUAUUUACAAUCUACAUCACAUGUGAGUAUUAAGAAAAUUAGUUGCCUGUAUUUGACUUGAAAGGGAAGCAUUCAUUAAUGCUACUCCUACUUCAAAGUUGUAGUAGGUCUUGGGGCCAAGUUGUACGUAGUCUUCUCGUGCGUGAAGCGUUAGUGGAUAGAUCUUCUAUUAGCUCGUUGUCAUGGUUUGCCACAUGUUGAUUGUAUGCUACGGUCAUACGCUUAAUCUCAUUUUUGACCUAGGGAAUGCUGAAAUCAAUGUGGAGGGUAUUAUUCUGACAUAUCACGGAGCAUCCCCCAGGUUUCUUAGUGUUUUGGAUUGAAACUUUUGUAUUAUGUUGAUCGCAAUAGGUUUAGUAUAUUCUCAGAGUUGGAUCCCGUAAAGCCAUAUCGACUUUAAGAUUUAUUUGUAUAUUAGCAAUUUGUUGGUUAUUGAUUUCCGUCCGAGAGGCCAGCACAUUUGACGAGCAUUGAUAUCUAGUUGUCUUCUUUUAGCCUCAAUAUAUUUUUUCCAGGUAAGUCGCUGAUCUAGAUUAAGGCCGAUGUAUUUGGUUUUAGUUGCUACGCGUAUUCGUGUGAUUUGUACUGAUUUAGCUGGGAUGAUCUUAUUUCGCCAUUUGAUGUACCACUCAUUAAGCAGGUCGAUAUGAUUUUGUAAAUCUUCAGUAGCUGUUAGUGGGACUUCGUUUGUAGCUAAAAUGGCUACAUCAUCAGCGAAUGAAGCCAUUUUAGUGUUACUGGUAUAUAGGACGUAAACAUAAGGAAGCUCAGUGGCCCUAAGACACUACCUUGGGGAACUCCAGAUUUAAUAGGAAAGAAAUUAGAUUUCUGGUCUGAGAAUCUUUCAGAAAAGGUUCUAUUCGAUAAGUAUGAUUUGAGGAAAAGGUAGUAAUUAUUUGAAAGACAGUUUUUUAAUAUAAAGAGUAGACCUCUGUGCCACAACUUAUCGAAGAUCUGAGAUAUUUCUAGGAAUACCGCAUUACAAUACUUUUUGUCUUCAAGACCCUUGGAGAUUUCAUUUAUCAACCUGUGAACUUGCUGGGUUGUAGAAUGGUAAUCUCGAAAUCCAAAUUGAUGAUUAGAUAGUAACUCCAUGAGAUCAUGAUCCGUGUUUAUCCUUCUUAGUAGCCGUUCGAGGACUUUGCAUACUGUAUGCAACAAAUUUUAGGAUGAGGUGUUUUGGUUUUUGCACCAUGGUAAUCUCUGCAUAUUUCCAGACAAGCUUAGGAUACGAUUAAAUACUAUUUGUCCAUUGAUAAAGUCAUAUCCAGGUGCUUUAUGGUUAUUAAGUAUAUCUAUUUCUUGUUUUAUUUCUUGUUCUUGUUGGAGAGAAUGGUUUUUUGGGAAGUUACAUUUAACAGGAAGCAUUAAUGACUUCUUCAACUUCUUGAUCUACUUCUUCUGGUUCAGUAUUGAAAAUCUUAGUCAGAUGGGCAGCAAAUGUAUCAGCCUUCUCUUUAUCUGAUCAAGGCCCCUUUCCGUUUGGUUUACGACUAGGAGGUACGGGUGCUUGAGGUCUUUUUAGUUUUUUUGUAGCCUUCCAUAGAGUUUGAUCAUUUAUGGAUAAGUUGGUCAAGUAGUGAUCAAAUGAAUCGUUUUGUGCCUCUCUAAAUGCUGUUUUUAGUUCCCUAUUCAGUUUAUGUAUACAUGUUGGUCAAUGACGUUUCUGGUUCUUUGCCUAUUUGUCUUAAAAAAUAGUUUCUAAGACCAAUGUAAAAAGAAUAUUUGCUUGAACUUUAUUUCACAUCAGAAAUUUUUCCAUUUUGAUCAAAACAGAAAUAACUACUCUUGUUGUAUUGUUUGUAGCACUGUUUGGCUUAGAGCAACGGAAACAAUAGAUAUUAACUACUUUCACACUGUUUUUUCACACUAUCACCGAUGAUAUAUCAAAACUCUUCCAAUUAUUACUUGUUUAAUAGAAUAAUAAAAACAGUUUUUCGUGGGAAGUAUUUUCAAAAGUGGGGUCAUCACUUUAAGCGUUAUCCGAGUCCAAAUAUAUACAUAUAUAAAUAACAAAUGUUUUAGAAUUGUUCACAUAAGUACAAUUAUUUUAGGACAAAAGAACUACUACUGCCUCUCGUUGGUACUGUUGUAAAAUACUAAGCUGUAUAUUGUUAAAUAUAAUUAUCAUUCCAAAUAUUUAUCACACAAAAAACUGGUUUUAGAAUAUUUCUUAUUGCUGGUUUUAGAGUUUUAAGAUAUUUGUUCAUAAUAUACAAUUAUGAUUAAUAUGUCAUAUUAUCUAAAAUGUAAAAUCAUUCACUUAACCUUUUGCUAGGUCUGUAACCCAAUUAUUUUUAUUCUUCUUCUAUCUUGGGGCUCUAUCUAAAGUUGAUGAAGUAUUAACUAUUCAUGGUGUUUACUAUUCCGUUAUAACAUAAUUUUAUGGACACAUAUUUGUAUAGUUAGGUUCUACAAAUAUCAUGGUAUAUAAUAUAUUGGGUGUCUCAUAACGAUCCAACUACUUUAGUUGAAAAAAAUACGUUAUACUAAGUGGUCGAGGAAUACUCCUGAUCUUUUCUUUAAUAUUGUUCCUUAAAUCCGUCAAAUUUCUUGGAUAAUUCUCGUAGACCAUGCUAUAAAGAUAACCCCACAAGAAAAAAUCAGGUGGGGUCAAGUCAGGCCAUUCAAUAUCACCUCUUCGUGAAACCACCUUUUCUGGGAAUAAACCGUACAAUACAGCUAAAGAGUUAUUAGUGGUGUACAAUGUGGCCCCAUCCUGUCAUGUCAGCCGGUUACAAUGCUCACAUUGUUCCAGUUGAGUCCCGAAAAAAUUGCGUAUUAUGUCGACAUAGCGUGCAGAAGUUACAGUCACUGCAUGUCCUCGGUUACCUUCAUAAGUAGAGCCCAAUAGUGCAGUUCGCCGACAGAGCGACCCACACGGUGACUUAUGGACUAUGUAACGGGCGUUUAUGUAAGGUCUGUAGAUUCUUUUCUUCCCAAAAACAACAAUUUUGGCGAUUUACGUAUCCAUCAAAAUAAAAAUCUGCCUCAUCGUUAAGGAACAUGUUAUGGAAAUUGUUACUUCUCUCUAACAUUGCAUUUGCAAAAUUCAAUCUUAUAACAUAAUCUUUUUCAUUUGCACAAUCUGGAUUUUAAAGGCCUUUAGGUGUAAAUAAGAUAGCAUUAUGCGGCGAAUGGUUGCUUUUGAUAAUGCCAGGCGUUCUUGCUAUCCUUAGGCGGCCGUUAUGAAUUUCGCCAAUAAUGUUUCCAGUAGUAUUGAAUAUCAUGCCAUGUGUACGGUAUAAUAGCAACUAAAAAUUUUAGAAACGCGUUAGGUUAGGUUAGGUAACUAUCCCAGCGCUGCCCCUCUUUCGCACCUUGUUUGUUUUUCACGCACUCUUGAAAUAGUUGGAUCGUUUUGAGACACUCUGUAUUAUAGGUCUUUUUAAUGGACACCAAUGAAUGAAUGUAAUAGACUUUCCUUUAACUAAGAACUGUGGUACUAGGGUUGCCAACUUUUUUACAAGAAAUAAAGUAUAUUCAGGACUAUGAAGAAUAUUAAACAGUAUUUUAGAAACAUGAACAUUUAUUUACUGUUUUAUAUACAUAUUUUUAGACCUUCUCACACAACUUACUAAUUUAUAAUCUUUUUUAAAAACUUCAUACGGCUCACCACAAUUAUAACUGAUAUUAAAAUAAAUGAGGAGCUCAUUAUUUAUUAAAUUAAUAGGUGCUUUAUUUCUAUCCCCCCGCCACUUAGCAUUAAUUACUGAAAAAAAUCUUUUGGCAAAUGCUGAAGUGGCGGGAAAAGAAAGUAGAUAUGAGAUAAUUUUGGUAAUGUUUAUAAAUUCUUCUAAAGUGUUUACUGAUAAAUGGCUCCACUUUUGGCCAGUAUUCAUUUAAAGAAAAUAUUUGCCCUCUCAUAUUUUUUCAUAGGUUACUUUGAAAUUUAUUAAUUUUGAAUAUAAAUCAUCCAUACCAAUAUCGAGCCAGUUCGAACCAUUUCUCUUAAUACAAAUUAGCCUUAUCAAUAAAAAGUAUUAAUUUAUUAAUAGUUCUAUUAAAAACUUCCUGGGAAGACUCUAUAAUAAUAUUUAAUCUUUUUUUUGUUUCAUGGCUACAACACUUAUCAUUUUUUCUUUGAAUUAGAUCAGUCUUUAAGCCAGUCAAAAUUUUAUAAAUAUCUAAAAUAAUUACACUAUUCUCUUAUAAUUUUUUUAUUGUUUUAUUGAAAACAUUUAAUAUAUGACUAGCAUAAAGAAGGUGACUAUGAACUACAUUAUUUCCUACAUUAUUAUCCAACAUUAAUAAAUUUUGUGUAACCAUUGGACAGCCAAGAUCCAAACUAACAAAGUAGUUACAACUUUGUGUCCAAUUAAGUAAAAUUGUAUCAAUCAAUCAAUCAAUCAAUGGAGAUGGCUAACGAGGUUCCUAUGUGUCGUAUUAUUUCAUGAAACUCUCCAUCAGCAAGCUUCAAAUAUUUUUAAUUCUUCUGUGCUGCAAGCAGAAACAGAAAAGUGGCUAUAGAUUUUUAAUAUAAUGUUCUCGAUGUCAUAAUCGAAACACUUCAUAGCAAGUUCUACUGAAUUGUGCACAAUAUGGUAUAACAAUUUCCUUUUAUUAAGUCUGGCACAACCUCUAACACGUUUGUGAAUAAGGAAUGUUUAUAUCCAAAAUUUGAAUGUGUAUUGUAAGCGCUAAGACCAGAUAAUUCAUUUCAUUGGGUGAAAACAUCCCAUUGGCUAAUUUAUCUGGAUUUACAUUUGUAUUCCAUUUUUAGUGGUAAAAUAUUGACCUACCAGUAGAAACAAUUUAUUAUUUUUUUAUUGGAGGGAUCAUUUUGUAGACAUAAAAUACAUUGUCUUUAUUUAAAUGGUCAAUGACAGACUGCAAGUAGUGUAGGCCAAGAACUUCGGUCACUAAUGUCUCAAUUUUUUUCCUAGCCAAUUGUUGUUGUUGUUAAUGACUGUUUUGGAAUCAACAUAGAUAAUGUUAUUUAAUUUGAUACUACCGUUCUGGCUAAAUUAUGCUUGACAGUAUGGUAUGUCAUCGGUAACUCUACCGUUGUUAACUUGGUAUCUUCAUUAGAAGGGGAAGACAAGCCUGAUGUAGAAACGGAAAUUUUAGAAAAAAACUUUUGUUACAAUCCACUAGAUUUUCUCUUUUCCGUUUUUGCUUUGUGCUUUUUGCUGAUCAAAUACGGUUUAACCUAGAAACACGGAAACGAAAUAUAUAUUUUAUGCAAAAUAGUUUCCUAAAUAUCUAAUUUAUGCAUAUCAGAAGACAAGAGGAGAUCAAAGCAAGACGCAAACAAAAAUACCAAACCUACCCAACACCCGCGUGAGAAAUAAUAAAUGUUAAAGCACAUAUUUUGCAUUUAACAUUAAAUUCGCAUAGAGGAUCACUCGUUUACCAGUCAUUUUGGUAUUCCUAUUAAUGCUUAUAUUUUUGUUGUCCCUUCGAUAGUUUGGCUUUCUUUCUUGGCGUUGUAUGAGAAGAAGGUAAUUCGUUAACACUCUCCAUCUUUUGUACACUAAACUUAUAACUGACAUACCUAGUUACUUUAAUUUUACUAAAGUUGUAAAACAAAAAUAAGGUCUACGCAAAUAGAGGUUAUGUUUUGAGAACGCACACACUCGCAUGUCUGUCAGUGAGUGACAGUCUUGAAUAUUUGACAGUGACAGAUUCGUUCAGAAACCCAAUUUGAUUUGUUGGUGGCUGCGUGGCAUCUUAGAACAUAAAGUAGUAAGGAAGGAUAUUUAUCCAAAAUGGCUGCCGCAGAAUAGACCAUAUAUGUAAUACUCCUAUAUGACCAGCUUCUAUAAGUGGAAGCGGUUCCAACUAAGGAAAACAGAAUGGCAACGAUUUCUCUAUCCUCCGAGGCUCCGGCUCGCUCCUACGCAUUCUCAAGCAUGCGCAGUCUAGAUAAAGUAUCUCGAACGAGAGAGAAAAUUAAUAUUGUCGGCACCAUAACAUAGGGACGCUUUUUCCCAUACCAACUGUCCAUAUAAGAGUAUUACAUAUAUGGAAUCGACUAUAAUCAGAGGCGUUGUACCUAAAGAUUUCAUAAAAGUAUUUCCAUAAAAUGAAAAUAAUAUUUCCAAUAAAAAUUGAAAAUUUUCACGAGUGAAUAAUUUAUCAAAACAUUAUUGUAAAGACAUUACAGACAUUAAAGUUAGUAAUAUAGAAAUAAACAAUCAUAUAUUUAAAUUUUUAUUCACACUAAAUCAUAUAUUUAAACAAUUAAAUUUCUUAGACCUUUUGAUCGGUCUAUGCUUCUGAAUGUUCUUGAUUUUAGGUCUUUUCUAAUUUAAAAUUAGUCCCUUUUACAAUUUUUUAAAGACAGGUGAAAAUUUAACGUUUCGACUUCUUUUAAUCUUUAUCAAAAUUUUUAUUUAAGUACACUAACAUUAUUGAAUGAGUGUUGUGUAAACUUGUAUAAUUUUGUCAACAUUUGUAACACUUUGACAAAUAAAAUGUACUCGUUGAAUAUUUGACAGUGACAGAAACCCAAUGUGAUUUAUUUGUGGCUGCGCUGCACCUUAGAACAUAAAGUAGUACUACUCUAUGUUCUAAGCGCUGCACUGAGUAGUGAGCCCCCUCUGAAUUAAUAAAAAAAUUUGUGUGUCUAAAUAAAGUAGUACUACUCUAUGUUCUAAGCGCUGCACUGAGCAGUGAGCCCCCUCUGAAUAAAUAAAAAAAUUUGUGUGUCUAAAUAAAGUAGUACUACUCUAUGUUUUAAGCGCUGCACUGAGCAGUGAGCCCCCUCUGAAUAAAUAAAAAAAUUUGUGUGUCUAAGUAUAAGACAUAAUGAUUGCAUUUUGAUGGUUAAACCGUAUUUUAUUUUUGUUCCACAGUAAAAAAUAUAACCUAGUUAAAAACAGUAUUGUUUAAAACAGUAUAGUUGGCAACUCUAUGUGAUACUCAUAUGGUUUAGUUGGCCUCUUGAAACAUUUAAAUCUUACAUACAUGUAGAAGUUGCUAAACCAUUUGAGUGCCAUGCAUUAAACCCGACGUAGAAAAAUGAUUUAUUGCAUGCAAACAAGUAACAAUUGUUACCAAUAUGAAAACACUAGCUUAUGACUGACAGUUAUUACUAAGUCAUUGAAAGUCAUUGAAAGUAUAUAUAUACAAAGGACUUUGGACUGUGUCGAUUAGAUAAUUUUAUUUAGAUAAUUGAUUUUGGUAAUUUGUUUAGAACCUUUGUUAUAAUUUACUUACUUUACUUGCAAUUUUAUUUUAGCCCAAACUUAUUUCUACUUCAAGACUGACACUAUAUGAGAUUUUAGCUAUGAAAGAAUUUUUCAAUUACUCUAAUAGAUGAUUUUCUAGGUGAUAAUUUCCUGCCAUAAACUAGUGUUUCAGCCCGUCGGUGUAUGAGAUUUUGGGAGUUAUAUCGUCCAUAUUGUCAUAUUCUUCACUAUCCUUACCACCGGUUACCAUAUCGAUGAUUUCCUCGUUGGUAAUCUCAAUCUAAACAUCUUGAUUGCACCAAUCACAAAACUCAUUCGCUAGUUUGACUAGUUCGAUCACGUUCUCGGGCUCUGGCGUUUAUUUGCAUGGUCCAUCUCUGUCAAAUAAAUUUUUCCACGACUAUUGAACGGUGGUUGUUUUUACCUCAUCCCACGCUGACGCAAUUCAGUACGACAUAAUGUUUUAAUGUGACUUGAUUUAAGGCAUCCUUAACAGUCAUUCCUUCGUCUAACUCCAAAAUCAAUAUCUGAAGAAGCCUUUGCCGGUAGAUCCUCUUCAUCGCUUGUUGAACCCUUCGUCGAGAGUUUAUAUAAGCGAGGUUACAUUAGUGGAUUGAAAGAUUGCCUUCAUACCAUCAAUGCCAGUUUUUAGACAUCAGGGUGAGAGUAGAAUAGCUUUUCUGGAAAGCUUCUUUUUGAUAAAAAAACUCCUCAUAGACUGGUACAAAUUUGUUGUAAAUCUAAUCAAUAAAUAUCGGGCCGUCUAUACAUGCACUACUUUGGUUUUGGUACAUUGUUGAAAGGGAGUCGACUUUUACAUUUUUAAAGGCUCUAGGAUUUUUCGCCUUUCUAAUAAUCAGCGGUAUUAGCUUCAAUGAGCCAGAAGCAUUAGCUAUAGCCAGUAUCGUUACCUUUUUUAAAAUUCAGGAGUAGUCGUGCCGGAUUUUACUGCUAAGGUUUUAGAAGGUAGCAUUCGAAAAUUAAGGACCGUUAUUUAAUCAGAACUUAAUCCUUCCUUGAGCACAUUUUUUUCCAUUUCCACGGUUUCAGAUGAGUCUGCUGAUAGCUUCUCACCACUAAUAUUUAGCUGUCUUACUCAAUACCUCUUCUUCCAUCGGUCCAGCCAUCCUUCAAUCGCGUUUAAUGUUUCCUCGCCGUCUUUAAAGUUUUUUUGUUAAUAUAUUUUUCGAUUUCUUCACGUUUCGUCUCCAAUCGCCAACAGUCACUUUCUCAACCCCCAACAGUCACUUUCUCAACCCCCAAAUCAACAACCACCUUUUUAAUUGAUUCACCAUUGUCCAAUAGUUCAAUAGCAUUAAAUUUUGUUUCAAGAGAAACUACAACUCUCUUCCGUUUCCCACUCAUACAGUAGCAACAAAGAUAUCAAUAAAAAUGGCAAAAAUAAGCACACCAACACAACCACAAUUAGCGCGAGUGCGGCUAACACCAAAAGAGUACAGCGCGUGUUCAGAGCCAACUGAGUCUAUAAUGAGUCAUCUUCCCCUUUCCACGACAUGACAGCUCGAUCUAGCAACAGCCAGUAGACGCCAAUAGAGGCGUUUACGCCUCGACCGCGCUUGUUACUAUAUAAACAAAUAACCAUCACUGCUCCUUGUAGGUCUCUUAGACUCGUGGCCAAUUCAUGUACAUAGUUUUUGCCUGGUAUUGUUACUUCAAACCAAUACCAGGCAAAAACUGUGACGCUAAAGACUUAAAUAAAUUUACUAGUUCUUAUAAUAUGUCCCGGUCAUCUUCACUGCCCAUCUAUCGUUGUUUCAUUUCUCGGAAUAAAUGCUAAUUUAAUCACAGACAAGUUAUUCAAGGUUUUCUUUUUCUUGUUGUAUUUGUCUAGCUUAAGUUAUCUAACCAAUUAUACAAAUUUUCUUAAGUGAAUCAAUCUUUUUUCAACAUAGUGCAAUAGUCAUCUAAUCUAGCUAUUUCUGGUAGAGUCUAGGGGUAUCGCACUUAAAGGAAUCUCGCGAAGGAGAAUGGUUAUAAUGAGACGAAGUCUUCUGUAAAAACAUUUUUCCUGUCCCAGAUAGCGAGAGAAUUUAUUGCUGUGGAAUGUUGAGUUGUCUUGUGACAAUAAAGACGCGUCAAACAAGCCUAAAAAAUAUACGGGCUCACUAACAUCUAUUAAGUUUCGGAACCGUAAAAUCGCAUCCGAUAUAAGGUUCACAGCAUUCCAUUCAUUUUUAUUCCCUAUUGGAUAAAAUACAGAGUUGUUAUUACAUUAUGAAAAGGAGUGAAGUGGAAGAAGAUAGACAACCGAUACAGCUUAGCCCUGCAAGCGGACCCAGUUAGGCAUCGCUUCUUAAAAUGUAUGCCCAUAUACUCAAGUGUGUGAAUUGGAACUGCUGUUGAAUAAAACAAGCUGAAUUACAAAUGUUGUCCCUAACCACCAUAAUAUAAUUAAGUUUACCAGUUCAUAUUUAACAUUUUUCCUUUUUAUUAAUUCUAAUAUAGGAGUCAUUUGAAUAUUUUGUACUCUAAAGACAAUGGGUACAUCUAAUGGAGAGCUUAUAUUUAUUUUAUAUUUAUUGUACCCAGAAUGUAUUUUAUUUAUUGCCAAGAAAAUCUUUUAAAUGUUUGUAAUAUGUACACUUGUUGAGAAUCUACAUACAAUAUGAUUCAUAUGUAAAAUUUUAUUUUAUUAGUAGUAUUUUUGAUGUAAUAUUUUUUAAUACAGAAUGUCCCUUAGUUCUGAUCUUCGAAUAUUGCUUUAGAUGUAAAGUUGAACAUUCAACAAUUACUUUUUGUAAAAUAAUAUAAAAUGUUUCUACGUGAAUUCUAGCAACCACUCAUAUAUUAUUUCCUUCCUUCACUGAACAGGAAUGUGAGGACAGAAUUUUGGGAUGCCCGGUAUGAUUUAAUUUUUGUCAAUGGUGCUAAAUGAUUUAUGCUCCUAGUAUAAAAGUAAGACUGUUUCAUCCAAAAAUUAUAUAAUUGACAUGAGAAACUUGAAAACCAAAAAUUUUGAAGCUUUAAAAUAAUGUUGUGUUACAUAUUUUAGAUGGUUGUAACUGUAUUGUAUGUGAACUUGGAAUUUGGAAUCUGAUCAAAGAAGAAUAUCAACUGAUUAGCUCAAUAGGUUUGAGUUUAAUCGAUUUUCUAUACAUAUGUAAUCUAUUGGUGGUUGCAUACGAGUUGCGUUCCGUGGUCAAAUUUUAAUCCGGGUUACUGUAAGGGUCGUAUAUCAAUUGUGUCCUUUCCAACAAAUGUAGUACUAAAUACUUCUGUGAACUAAUUUUACUUCUCAGGAUUAUCUAUAUAUGAAUAUAGAAUUCUGGUUAACCAUUUUCUUACCUGGAGCUUGAGUAAAAUACAUAUUACCAACUUAUUGGGGAUAAAUUUAAAGUAAUUGGUUUAAAUUUUAUGACCAAAAAUAUUUUUGCAAAUUUCAUUCCCAACAUUUUAGUUUUCGCCUUACCUUUGAAAAGUUUUAAUUGUAUUGUAAAAAUGUAGUCAGAGUCCGUAGUUUCUAAAUGUGAAAAAGGAAAAGUCUUGUAAAUUGUAUACGGUUUUAAAUUUAGAUAUCAAAAAAUUUCAAGUAGUGAAAGCAUCGUGUAAAGCUUAUAUUAGAAAACAAAAUGGUAUAAUUGUGGACGACGUUUUAGAUCACAAUCAUAAUCUAGCUUAACCUAACCUAAUUAACCCGGACGCAACUAGUAUAAACCUUUACAAGUCUGGCUGAACUAGUAAAUUCUCUUUAAAUAUAGAUUGCAAUUUAUUUAGAGUAAUAAUUGAAAAAUGUUCAUCAAUAUGAAUUGUGAUUUAGAAAUAUUACAUAUUCAAGUUAAAAACCAUCUGGACUACAUGCAUUUCUAUGAGAAACUGAAUAAAUGGUUUUCUAAAUCUCUUUUUAUGUGUGAGAAAAAGAUUAUAUCAAAUAAUAAAUACAAGCAUCGAAGAAAAUACACAAGAUUAUUAUCUCGUUUAGUCACACUUUGGUGAUGUCAAAAAAAAAUGAUGUAGAAGCAAAGCUAGUUUCAGUUCUCUCAUGUCUCUUGAAUACGUAAUUAUUAAAAACAAUUUCAUAUUUAAAGAAUUUCUCAAAGAAUAAAGAUGUUAGAAAUAUGUGCACUAUGCUAUUUUGAUUUUUCUUGCUUGAAAAUGAAAAAUGGUAUAACGCUUGUUUUCUGAUUUCUAAAGAGCACCAGAAAAAAAUGUUAACAAUAAUAAUUGUAUGGUAUUAUGGUGUAUUGUGUACAUAUUUUCAAAAAUGCUACUAAGACUGCUUUAAAAGUCCUUUAUAUCUGCUUAGUGAAAGGCAACCAAAUUAAAUAAUUUUUUAUUAA